AUUGAACGCUGGCGGCGUGCCUAACACAUGCAAGUCGAGCGGUAACAGGUGUAGCAAUACAUGCUGACGAGCGGCGAACGGGUGAGUAAUGCUUCGGAAUCUACCCAAUGGUGGGGAAUAACCAGCCGAAAGGUUGGCUAAUACCGCAUACGUCCCACGGGAGAAAGCAGGGGAUCGCAAGACCUUGCGCCAAUGGAUGAGCCGAAGUCGGAUUAGCUAGNGGUAGGGUAACGGCCUACCAAGGCGACGAUCCGUAGCUGGUCUGAGAGGACGACCAGCCACACUGGGACUGAGACACGGCCCAGACUCCUACGGGAGCGAGCAGUGGGGAAUAUUGGACAAGUGGGGGAAACCCUGAUCCAGCGACGCCGCGUGUGUGAAGAAGGCCUGGCGGGUUGUAAAGC
rnacentral:rRNA from 1 species